AGACUAAAGCCUUUUUUAUUGUGCUGUUAUUUACAGGAGUUCAUUGUUAAACAGCUGGGCGGCUCUCAGGCUUGGAUUGGUCUGAGUGACAGAGAUAGAGAGGGAGAGUGGAAAUGGGUGGACGGUACACCACUGACCACUGAGUAUUGGGAUUCGGGGCAACUGGGUCAUACAGAUCAUGAGGAUUGUGCUGAGAUUUACAAUACAGAUAAGGUUGUCUGGAACGACAAGCAAUGCUCUGAGAAACUGCACUGGAUCUGUGAGAAACGUCUUUCUCAGUGACGAGUAUCAUUUUAUAAUAAAAAGCGCUUAUACACAAAUUGAGCCAAAUAUAUAAAAAAUAUAAAAGACAGUAUUGUGAUGAUAAUUGUGUCUCAGUGUAUGUUCUUGUUUUCUCAGAGUGAACUCAGUAAUCAGUCAGUGACACAAAGUGCACAGAGACUGUUCAUGUCUUUUACUGUAACUCAUAGAUGUAUAUUUCUUAUGAUUCUGAUGCAGUAACUCUGUAGAUCUGUGAUGAUGAACGCAGUAUAAUUGAGAUAAUUGUAUCUGAAGAGUCCAUCUCAGUGUCUCUGACUCUGUUAAAUCAGCAUAAGCCUGAGCUCAAGCAAGAUUGGAUUGAGGUUUAUUAUAUUAUUUUUGAUCCUAGAGUGAGGGACAUGAUGUGAAAUGACUGUAAAGGGGUUGAUUCCUGGUUUGCAGGUACUUUUCUGCUCAAACGGUUAAGCUGAAUAGAGUUUAUGUUAAAAACAACAUUUAAAUAAAUCUGUACAGAGCA